rnacentral:rRNA from 1 species
UGCGCAGGCGGGAAGGUAAGUCAAUGGUGAAAUCUCACAGCUCAACUGUGAAACUGCCAUUGAUACUGCUUUUCUUGAGUUUGGGAGAGGGUGGUGGAAUUCUUGGUGUAGCGGUGAAAUGCGUAGAUAUCAAGAAGAACACCAGUGGCGAAGGCGGCCACCUGGCCCAUAACUGACGCUCAUGCACGAAAGCGUGGGGAUCAAACAGGAUUAGAUACCCUGGUAGUCCACGCCCUAAACGAUGAGAACUUGAUGUUGGUCCCGCAAGGGAUCAGUGUCGGAGAUAACUCGUUAAGUUCUCCACCUGGGAAGUACGCUCGCAAGGGUGAA